CUCGUCUCUGGCCAAAGGUGGAGAUUCAACAAUGCUGAACUCCACCUCGAUGAGGGGUCUCAUGUCUCCGACUGUCGCGCUAGUUUUAGUUGGGUCAACUUUCCAAUCCUGAAUGGAAAAAAAAAAAAAAACAAGAAAAUCGGGAACGGGAGAACAACCCCCCGUUGCUGUUUUCUAAACACAAUUAAGGAGAUUGCAGAUUGGCAGACAGGACACCAUCUUCCCGGAGACAUUCUGCUGUAUUUACAUGAUGCAUAAUUUGGCCUGAGAAAUUGUUUCUAUGUCCAGUUUAACUAAUUCUCGAUCAAAGCUAGAUUACCAUUAUGGAUAAAAAAGCACUUUUAACAGAAAAACAGCCUAUAUAUACACUCAAAAAAAUAAAUCGUUGGUCUAACUUAAUAUAAUUAUGACACCUAUUUCCACACAUUUGAAUGGUGUUGUCUCAACUUAAUUUAGGCAAAUGGAACCCAAGAGCAAAAUUCAUUUUGAACCAACAAGAUCAAAUCAUUUUCAUUUGAAUCAUAUUAUCGUAUUUAUCUAUAAACUGUUUAAUCUUGUUGAGCCAAUUAAUCUUAAUCACUUAAUUUAGAAAACCAGAAAUAUUGUGUCAACUACUAUCGUUAAGUUAAUUGUACAACUUUAUUUACAUCAAACAAAUGUUUAAUUGUUGACAUGUCUAUCAAAAUGUAAUUUACUGCACAAAUAAAAUGUUCUCAAAGUGAAUGUCAAAA